UGGUGGUCCUGUUGGUGGCCAUGGCGCUGAUAAUGGUGAGGAGGGGGAGGAGAAGAAUUUGCUACAGCAUCGUCAUCGUCAUCGUCAUCAUCACCA
rnacentral:miRNA from 1 species